rnacentral:rRNA from 1 species
GUGGGGAAUUUUGGACAAUGGGCGCAAGCCUGAUCCAGCAAUGCCGCGUGCAGGAAGAAGGCCUUCGGGUUGUAAACUGCUUUUGUACGGAACGAAACGGUCCGGGUUAAUACCCUGGGCUAAUGACGGUACCGUAAGAAUAAGCACCGGCUAACUACGUGCCAGCAGCCGCGGUAAUACGUAGGGUGCAAGCGUUAAUCGGAAUUACUGGGCGUAAAGCGUGCGCAGGCGGUUUUGUAAGACAGGCGUGAAAUCCCCGGGCUCAACCUGGGAAUUGCGCUUGUGACUGCAAGGCUGGAGUGCGGCAGAGGGGGAUGGAAUUCCGCGUGUAGCAGUGAAAUGCGUAGAUAUGCGGAGGAACACCGAUGGCGAAGGCAAUCCCCUGGGCCUGCACUGACGCUCAUGCACGAAAGCGUGGGGAGCAAACAGGAUUAGAAACCCUGGUAGUCC